rnacentral:lncRNA from 1 species
GUGGCAAAUAUUUCAUGCAUAUUCAGGACGAGAACAAGUUCACAAUAAAUACAAUAGGUAGGUCUUGUCAUCAUAGAGGCCAUUUGGAAUGAUGGUCUUGGAAAUUUGGACUGCCACUGGAAAUUGAGGGGAUAUUGGAUAGGGACAUACAUUUUGCCUUGAAACAGGCCACCUACAGGCCCUCAAAGAGUUGUUGCAAGGGUUCUUAACGUGCAAAGAGCGUGGCACUCCCUUUACACGAGACAUCGGAUUUAACGUCCCUAUUCUGACAGGACGGCUAUAGCAAACUUUCCAAAAACUUUAAAAGCCUCCCAAAUGAUUAAUGUCAUCUGAGGAUAAUG